CCAAACUGGGAUCUGGUGCAUUUCCAGGUUCCAGACUGGGAUCUGGUUCCUUUCCAGGUUCCAGACUGGGAUCUGGUUCCUUUCCAGGUUCCAAACUGGGAUCUGGUUCCUUUUCAGGUUCCAAACUGGGAUCUGGUGCCUUUCCCAGGAGACAGGACAGAUUCCCAACCCCACCCAGACUUCUCCAGGUGCUCCCAGCCUAAAUUACCCCAAAACUCCUUCCCGAGUGGAUUUGGGUUCUCCCAGCUGCCGGUUCUUUGUGGGAUCUCUGCCCGGAACUGGGCCGGUGCCAAUUAUUAAGAAAUUAUUAACGAAUUAUGAACAAAUCACCAUGAGCAGCCCUGGGUGUGCCCUGGGUGAAGAACAGGAGGUGGGAGAGGAGGGAAUCUCCCCAAGCCGGGCUUUGACUGCGGUCCAGGAGGUGGGAGCGGAGCCGGUUCCGGUUGUGAAAGAUUCUGGUCACCGAGUUUAACCCGGAGUCAUCGGCCCUUCCUGAGGGAUAUAAAAGCUGCUCCUCGGGGCAGCUCCACACCCGCAGCGGCUCCUCCUGAGCUCCCUCCUCCAGCAGGACGCGCCAGGAUCCAUCCCAGGAUGUCCCAGCAGCAGAAGCAGCCGCAGCAGAUCCCGGCCCAGUGCCAGCAGAAGUGCGGGGCCCUUCCCAAGGGGGUCCAGCAAAGCCAGGCCUCCAAAGGCCAGGCCGUGAAGAGCCUCCCCAGCAGCAGCAGCAGCAGCAGCAAUGCUCCAAGCAGAAGUAGGAGCCAUCCCAAAAUCCCAAAUCCUGCUUUUCCCACCUCUCCUGGCUCUGGGAACGUCUCCAGACCUGCAGCCUCCUGCUUCGCUUGCCAGGAAUUGCCUCAUCACGAGACGGCGCUUAAUUAAGGCUCAAAAAUGAUAAAUGGUUUUAAUUCCGAGUUUAAUUUGGGAUGUGGUGCAAUAAAAUGAUGGAAUGAC